CCUACGGGGGGCUGCAGUGGGGAAUAUUGGACAAUGGGGGGAACCCUGAUCCAGCCAUGCCGCGUGUGUGAAGAAGGCCCUCGGGUUGUAAAGCACUUUCAGUGAGGAAGAACGCCUGGUGGUUAAUACCCAUCAGGAAAGACAUCACUCACAGAAGAAGCACCGGCUAACUCCGUGCCAGCAGCCGCGGUAAUACGGAGGGUGCGAGCGUUAAUCGGAAUUACUGGGCGUAAAGCGCGCGUAGGUGGCUUGAUAAGCCGGUUGUGAAAGCCCCGGGCUCAACCUGGGAACGGCAUCCGGAACUGUCAAGCUAGAGUGCAGGAGAGGAAGGUAGAAUUCCCGGUGUAGCGGUGAAAUGCGUAGAGAUCGGGAGGAAUACCAGUGGCGAAGGCGGCCCUCUGGACUGACACUGACACUGAGGUGCGAAAGCGUGGGUAGCAAACAGGAUUAGAUACCCUUGUAGUC
rnacentral:rRNA from 1 species